AUACGUAGGGUGCGAGCGUUGUCCGGAAUUACUGGGCGUAAAGGGCUCGUAGGUGGUUUGUCGCGUCGUCUGUGAAAUUCCGGGGCUUAACUCCGGGCGUGCAGGCGAUACGGGCAUAACUUGAGUACUGUAGGGGUAACUGGAAUUCCUGGUGUAGCGGUGAAAUGCGCAGAUAUCAGGAGGAACACCGAUGGCGAAGGCAGGUUACUGGGCAGUUACUGACGCUGAGGAGCGAAAGCAUGGGUAGCGAACAGGAUUAGAUACCCUGGUAGUCAAGGGCG
rnacentral:rRNA from 1 species